rnacentral:rRNA from 1 species
UACGGAGGAGGCAAGCGUUCUCCGGCAUUAUUGGGCGUAAAGCGUCCGCAGGUGGCACUUCAAGUCUGCUGUCAAAGCGCAGAGCUUAACUCUGUACAGGCGGUGGAAACUGAAGAGCUAGAGUAUGGUAGGGGUAGAGGGAAUUCCCGGUGUAGCGGUGAAAUGCGUAGAUAUCGGGAAGAACACCAGUGGCGAAAGCGCUCUACUGGGCCAUAACUGACACUGAGGGACGAAAGCUAGGGGAGCGAAAGGG